GUGCUACUGGUGCUACUGGUAGAGCAUCUGACUUUUAAUCAGAGGGUCGAAGGUUCGAAUCCUUCAUGGCUCA
rnacentral:ncRNA from 17 species